UACGUAGGCAGCGAGCGUUGUUCGGAGUUACUGGGCGUAAAGGGUGUGUAGGCGGUUCUUUAAGUUUGGUGUGAAAUCUCCCGGCUCAACCGGGAGGGUGCGCCGAAUACUGAGGGACUAGAGUGCGGGAGAGGAAAGUGGAAUUCCUGGUGUAGCGGUGAAAUGCGUAGAUAUCAGGAGGAACACCGGUGGUGUAGACGGCUUUCUGGACCGUAACUGACGCUGAGGCGCGAAAGCGUGGGGAGCAAACAGG
rnacentral:rRNA from 1 species